rnacentral:lncRNA from 1 species
CCAAGCAAUAAAGAGGAAACCAAGAAAGGUUCUAGUUCCUUUCCUAUAUCCUCCCAAAAGGGAAAAUAGUUCAAAAACAUGCAAAAUGGGCUUAGGAAGUUAGGAAACCAGAUCCAAAAGCCUCUUGGCCCAAUCACAAGAAGUAGCCCAAGAAGUUCCAACUAGCUUUCAACUUAUUGGUCCAAAAAUGGGUAAAAGAGGAACUCACUUG